UACGUAGGCAGCGAGCGUUGUUCGGAUUUACUGGGCGUAAAGAGUGCGUAGGCGGUUUUCUAAGUUUGGUGUGAAAUCUCCCGGCUUAACUGGGAGGGUGCGCCGAAGACUGGAAGGCUAGAGUAUGGGAGAGGUAAGCGGAAUUCCUGGUGUAGCGGUGAAAUGCGUAGAUAUCAGGAGGAACACCGAUGGCGAAGGCAGGUCUCUGGGCAUUAACUGACGCUGAGGAGCGAAAGCAUGGGGAGCGAACAGG
rnacentral:rRNA from 1 species